UCCUGUCCUGAGCAGUAAUGGUGGAGUGUGUCUCUCUGACUCCCAUCCGGAGAUCGUGUGCUUGUGGGGAGAUGGUUGUUUCUCAGUAUUUCCUGGGUAUGGAGCUUGGGGCUACUAAGUGCUUAGUCCUUUUGCCCUGCUGCAGAAUAACGUGAUGGCUGGUUUCUCCCAUUGAAAAGCCGCGGUUCAUUGGCACAAGAAUAACGUUAUGGCUGGUUUCUCCAAAUGAAAAGCCACGGAUCGUUGGCACAAGCCUGCAGAAAGCAGAACAAGAUGCUGAGUGAGUUAUCUUUCCUGGGAUUUCGAUACAAAUUUUCUGGGAUGGCUUGGCUUUUAUUGCUUUAGAGAUUGCCUAAUUAACACUGGAAUGGUUUGAUCCUACCCCUCCCAAGAAAUAAACCUGGGAGUUCUUGCUUUGUCUCGAUGGUGCUGCAGUUUCAUAGAAGUACAAUUACCGGGAGUGUUUGCUGAAAACGAAGAAUAAGAUAUUGCUGUUUAUUGAGCACAGCAUCAGAGAAGAAGAAAAAUUAUAACAGAAAACAUCUGCCUCCUCCAGAUCACUAGAAGAUGAAUCUAUUUUUUAAAUGUAAUUGUGAAUGAGAAUGUAAAUCUAGCAUUGUAAUUUUUGUAGCUAUGAAAAUGUAAAUAAAAUAAAAAUGUAUAUA